CUAAACUCUGGAGGGUAUUGAGUCACAACAAAGUUCGCUUCAAAACUUCCUUUUUGCCACUUAAUCUCUGUGACCUAGGGGAAGUCGCUCGGCCUCCCCGGCGGAUUUACACCACACUGAAGGGCAGAAAGGGGGAUUAAGGACAAGGAUGGAGGUGCUUAGCCUUGGCCCACAAGACUGCGACAGCUUCCACCGCCUCCGCGAAGGGUGGCCGGGGAGCGAGCAAAGAUGAGCGGCGGUCGCCUGCUACUCAGGUCCUCUGCUACCCACUCCUCACGCCCACCUCCUGCCCGGCCAGAGGCUAGGGCUGGAGAAGAAGCGUGCGUGGGAGCUCAGUCCCCGCGUCAUCGGAACUGGGAAAGCUCGCAGGGACGUGGGGUGCUGUGCCCGGAAAUCUCAAGGACGCCCUAUUGGACGCGUCAUUUUCGUCGGUUUAGGAUGGGUUGGGAGGGUUACUCGUACAAUCUAGUUGCGAACCAUAACUCAACUCUUCCCUUGGAGCCGCGGUGUCGGCAUUUACCUUGAUAUAGCCAAAUGACUGGCAAGGCCUGUCCGCCUUGUCUCGACGCCUGCCCCUCACCUUGGCCCGCGGGCUUAUGGGAACUGUAGUCCCCCGGCGCUUCCGGCCAUCUUCCUCCUGUUCCGGUUUGGUAUCUCAUUGUAGCCCACCCUCCCGGUGUCUGGCGGAAGUGCCUUUCUUCCGGGUUUCGUUUGGGAGAUUUUUUUCCGAAGUGCAUCGAGUACUCGGAGCAAAAAGGAAUAUCGGUAAUUUCUCUAACAGGCGUAUUCCCUGACAGCAGGUUGAGGUUGGUGUUGCGAACAGUGUCACCUGAAGAGUUCCCUCAGGGCUCAUUUCCCCUGUACUCAAAAGUGACCAGGUGUUAAGUACCCCAGAAAAAAUAGAGGACUCACUGAUAAAUCAAAAGACAAAACGUUCUUGAGAGUAAGCACAGGCAUCGGGAGAGAAUCGCUGACGAGUGCCUCACCACCUACGUCUGUCUGAUAUUUGGCAAAGCAUGUGAUGUCCUCCAGAAGCCCUGGAGGAUGUUUACAAAUGAGGAAAUGAAAAAAAUGAAACUUGAUGGCUGCUUGCGCUUGGUGUGGUGUGUGGAGCAGAGGAACACCGCCCCGGGGAUACUGUGGCUGGUGACACUCCCCCAGAGGAGUCGGAGUGAGAUUUAUUGAAGUUAUGUUCCUGAUCCUCUGGUAUACAUCCUGCAAUCUGGGAAUGGAAGGUGAUUAUAGUGACAGUUAAUGAUUCCUGGCUUCUUGAUAGACCUGCUGCACAGAUUUCCCUGAUAUCUACGUAAUCUUCUGCCUUGCCAGCAUCUUGAAAGGUCCAAGCUUCCAGACAGCCAGUUCCAUCGAGCCCAAAAAACACGGAAGUAACCAGCCAACCCAGGACGUGGUCAAACACCUCAACUCUCCAAUGCCCACAAAAUCAGCAGGAAGCAGUCUUGAAAGACCUGAUGAAACGUGCAUUCCCACCCAUUAAAGACCCCAAAUCUUUAUAAUAAACUCUCCAAAUCUUUAUAAUAAACAAAAGGGUGGAAUGUUAUGGUUCCAGCCACACAACGGUAGUGGAAAUUUCCGGGUUCCAGGGCCAUGACUGUGCAGACAAGUGCUCAGGCAAAAUACUUAGCCACCCUGCGACCUUAAAAGGCCUUGCAUGACCUACAUGCAGUAUGGUUGCAUCACCUACGUAUGAUGCAGCUACAUGAGCCCUUGCAUGCAUGCGUGAGCUCGGUCAUCUGCGUGUGACAUAGCUACAUCAACCCCCGUGUGCAUGUACUAGGUAGGCUUUAAAAGCUGGAUGCAGAUUCUCCAAACUCUCUCUCUUUCUCUACUUCCCCAGGCCUGUGGACACGUGUCUCUCUAAUCAACUCGUAAGCAGGUUCUCUUUCUCUACUUCCCCAGGCCUGUGGACACGUGUCUCUCUAAUAAACUCGUAAGCAGGUUUCAUUGUGUACUUUGUUGUCACUCAUGCCAGGUAAUCUCACUAAGAAGAGGGAAAAGCUACAAAAUCACCUAAAACUGAGAAGCAGGAAGUUUGCUUAUGUGAUGGAUAACAUUAAUUGAAUAGGCAACCCUUGCUGCUUGACAAAGUUCUAGCAUUUGAGCAUUGCAGACCAUACUUCUCCAGCACCUUUUUACUUGUUUUUAAUGAUUCUCACUAUUAAUGCCUGUUCCUUUGGAAAUUUUGUAUGGGCUUUGGUAAAGUAUAAAAUGUGUACAAUGGUAACCUCUCUAAAUAAUUCUUUGGAAAAAAUUCUGACACCAUAAUACCAGGAAUUCCAUUGUUCCCUUUAAGUUAUACCAAGAAUAGGAAAGUUAGAGAUUUACUAGACGCACCUGAUCCCAAAGAUGAAAUGCCUACAGUUCAGAUCCCAAGCCUGAGGUCAUUAGAGUAAGAGAUCCAUUAAUAAAUACAGAGGAAUCAUAAUCACACAGUUUAAUGGGAAAUGGGUAAGACAUUAGGACCUUCCCUUUUGGGAGCCUCAUGAGGGGAACAGUCUGUUUCCCAGAAGUCCUUUUCUCAAGGCCAGGCAUUUGAAUAAGGGUCUUUAUUCCCUUGGGAUCCUGAGGAAAUUUUCUGCUUGAUAAAGGGUCAUUCUUCUCUCUGGCAAGAGGAACUUGUGGCCCUUUUAUUAACGUGUGACUGGUGCCUCUUGUCAAGGUCAAGGCUCUCUUCCUCAACCCCUGAUCUCAAGCCACACCCCAGUUUAUGCGCCACUUUCUUCCCAUUUAAUCCUAUGCACAAUAAAAAGUGUAGUUUUGUUUUAGCUAAACUCACCGGCAGCUAACCUAAUUCACCCUCAGAUCUUGUCCAUGUCCCUCCCCACAACUCUACACAACCUCUUUGGGAUCUGAAUGCCCCCACCCUGCCAAAGCAGG